rnacentral:tRNA from 1 species
GGUAACGUGGCCGAGUGGUUAAGGCGGCAGACUUAAGAUCUGCUUAUCGGAAGAUAGCGUGGGUUCGAGCCCCACCGUUACCA